AGCAGCCGCGGUAAUUCCAGCUCCAAUAGCGUAUAUUAAAGUUGUUGCAGUUAAAAAGCUCGUAGUUGAAUUUCAGGCCUGGCUGGACGGUCCGCCCUUCGGGUGAGUACUGUCUGUGGUCGGGUCCUACCUUCUGGCGAAGCGUCAUGGCCUUAACCGGCCGUGGCGGGGAACCAGGACUUUUACUGUGAAAAAAUUAGAGUGUUCAAAGCAGGCAAUCGCUUGGAUACAUUAGCAUGGAAUAAUGGAAUAGGACAAUGGUUCUAUUUGUUGGUUUCUAGGACCGUUGUAAUGAUUAAUAGGGAUAGUUGGGGGCAUUAGUAUUCAAUUGUCAGAGGUGAAAUUCUUGGAUUUAUUGAAGACUAACUACUGCGAAAGCAUUUGCCAAGGAUGUUUUCAUUAAUCAAGAACGAAAGUUAGGGGAUCGAAGACGAUCAGAUACCGUCGUAGUCUUAACCAUAAACUAUGCCGACUAGGAAUCGGGCGAUGUUGACAAAAAUGACGCGCUCGGCA
rnacentral:rRNA from 1 species